GUACUCGAGUGGCGAACGGGUGAGUAACACGUGGGUGAUCUGCCCUGCACUUUGGGAUAAGCCUGGGAAACUGGGUCUAAUACCGAAUAUGACCACGCAUUUCAUGGUGUGUGGUGGAAAGCUUUUGCGGUGUGGGAUGGGCCCGCGGCCUAUCAGCUUGUUGGUGGGGUAAUGGCCUACCAAGGCGACGACGGGUAGCCGGCCUGAGAGGGUGACCGGCCACACUGGGACUGAGAUACGGCCCAGACUCCUACGGGAGGCAGCAGUGGGGAAUAUUGCACAAUGGGCGCAAGCCUGAUGCAGCGACGCCGCGUGAGGGAUGACGGCCUUCGGGUUGUAAACCUCUUUCAAUAGGGACGAAGCGCAAGUGACGGUACCUAUAGAAGAAGGACCGGCCAACUACGUGCCAGCAGCCGCGGUAAUACGUAGGGUCCGAGCGUUGUCCGGAAUUACUGGGCGUAAAGAGCUCGUAGGUGGUUUGUCGCGUUGUUCGUGAAAACUCACAGCUUAACUGUGGGCGUGCGGGCGAUACGGGCAGACUAGAGUACUGCAGGGGAGACUGGAAUUCCUGGUGUAGCGGUGGAAUGCGCAGAUAUCAGGAGGAACACCGGUGGCGAAGGCGGGUCUCUGGGCAGUAACUGACGCUGAGGAGCGAAAGCGUGGGGAGCGAACAGGAUUAGAUACCCUGGUAGUCCACGCCGUAAACGGUG
rnacentral:rRNA from 1 species